UACGUAGGGGGCAAGCGUUGUCCGGAUUUAUUGGGCGUAAAGAGCGUGUAGGCGGCCUGCAAGGUCAGCUGUGAAAACUCGAGGCUCAACCUCGAGACGUCGGUUGAAACCAUCUGGCUAGAGUCCGGAAGAGGAGUGUGGAAUUCCCGGUGUAGCGGUGAAAUGCGCAGAUAUCGGGAAGAACACCCGUGGCGAAGGCGGCACUCUGGGACGGUACUGACGCUGAGACGCGAAAGCGUGGGGAGCGAACAGG
rnacentral:rRNA from 1 species